CGCGUAGGCGGCUUUAUAAGUCAGAUGUGAAAUCCCACGGCUCAACUGUGGAAGUGCAUUUGAAACUGUGAGGCUUGAGUAUCGGAGGGGAGUGUGGAAUUCCCGGUGUAGAGGUGAAAUUCGUAGAGAUCGGGAGGAACACCGGUGGCGAAGGCGACACUCUGGACGAAUACUGACGCUGAGGCGCGAAAGCGUGGGGAGCAAACA
rnacentral:rRNA from 1 species